rnacentral:rRNA from 1 species
AACGAACGCUGGCGGCAGGCCUAACACAUGCAAGUCGAACGCACCGCAAGGUGAGUGGCGCACGGGUGAGUAACACGUGGGAAUGUACCCUUUGGUUCGGAAUAACGUUUGGAAACGAACGCUAAUACCGGAUGAGCCCUGUGGGGGAAAGAUUUAUCGCCAAAGGAGCAGCCCGCGUCUGAUUAGCUAGUUGGUGGGGUAAAGGCCUACCAAGGCGACGAUCAGUAGCUGGUCUAAGAGGAUGAUCAGCCACACUGGGACUGAGACACGGCCCAGACUCCUACGGGAGGCAGCAGUGGGGAAUAUUGGACAAUGGGCGCAAGCCUGAUCCAGCCAUGCCGCGUGAGUGAUGAAGGCCUUCGGGUUGUAAAGCUCUUUCGCACACGACGAUGAUGACGGUAGUGUGAGAAGAAGCCCCGGCUAACUUCGUGCCAGCCGCCGCGGUAAGAC